AUGAAUGAAUAUUUGUACAGUAGGUCCAAAUAAUUAUAUUGUCCUUUGCAGGUAAAUUGUCAUGACCCUAUGGAUGGAAUAGAUCCACAAGUUCUAGAGGAUCAUUUGCAAUUGGUUGAUCACCUAAUUGAAUCUCAAUUCAGUGAAAAAAUUACAACAUUUGAAAAUGUUCAAGUGGAACCUUUACAGGGUAUUAUUACACAAGAGCAUGAUGCACACAAUGCUGAAGAAAGGAGGCCAGAAAG